UACGUAGGGGGCUAGCGUUGUCCGGAAUCAUUGGGCGUAAAGCGCGUGUAGGCGGCUGAGUAAGUCUGCUCUGAAAGCCCGGGGCUCAACCCCGGGAGGCGGGUGGAUACUGCUCAGCUCGAGUCCGGAAGAGGAGUGUGGAAUUCCUGGUGUAGCGGUGAAAUGCGCAGAUAUCAGGAGGAACACCAAUGGCGAAGGCAGCACUCUGGGACGGUACUGACGCUGAGACGCGAAAGCGUGGGGAGCAAACAGG
rnacentral:rRNA from 1 species